UACGGAGGGUGCGAGCGUUGUCCGGAAUCACUGGGCGUAAAGGGCGCGUAGGCGGCCUGGUAAGUGGGUGGGGUAAGAACUCUGCGGCUUAACCGCAGGGCUGCCUUCUAAACUGUCAGGCUCGAGCACGGUAGAGGCAGAUGGAAUUCCCGGUGUAGCGGUGGAAUGCGUAGAGAUCGGGAAGAACAUCAGUGGCGAAGGCGGUCUGCUGGGCCGUUGCUGACGCUGAGGCGCGACAGCGUGGGGGAGCAAACAGG
rnacentral:rRNA from 1 species